AUACUGCAUUUAAUCAUUGAAACAUACUUUGCUGAAGCCUUGUUAGCUGUGCUAUAGCCUUGAAGUUUUCUCCCUUCUGCUCUGCAAGAAAUAGGGAGUACCAGUGUGUAGCAUCCUUAUCUGAUGAGCCCAAUGCUUGCGUUGUGCAGAGAAUAUUUCCUACGUACUGUGUGACUAUGCACCUCCCAGAAUGCAAUACAUAUUAUGAGCUGAAUCCCUGUCUUCUCUUCAGUGAGAGGAAGUUGCCUUUGCUGUAAACUGCUCACUCCUUGCAAGUAAAAUCCUGAAGAAGGUCUCAACUGAUUGUGUCUGCUUUAUUUAAGAUUUACAAAGGGAACUAACAAUUUCCCUAACAUAAUUGGGGGCUCGUCCGGGAUCCCAAGAUCCUCUCUUUGCCGGGACAUUGAGUCGGCGACUGAAGUCUGUGCACAGCCAGGUUUGGAACCUGCAGAAAAUCCUGGGAGGUGAAUUCCUGCCCAGGUCAGACGUCGGCUGGUGGUCCAACGAGGCGAGGUGACGGGAUCCUGAACCAGGGCCAGGACACAGAUCAGGCGAGUAUGAAAAGAGUAAAUCCUAAGGUAUCUUAAAUUCCGUGAUUGGCUCACAAGGUAAAAGAAGACUGGGUCUUCAGAAAGUUCCGUGACGAGGUCACGAGGUAAAAGAGGACGGGGUCCUCGUAAAAUAGAUUAAUGAUAGUUUGUCUGAUUGAAGCAGCGGCAGAGUGGAAACCUGACGGUGUCAACGUAAACUCUGUGAUCAGUUGAAGUAAAUCAGACUAUAUGAAUAAGUGUUAUUGUUUGUCGGUCUCUAAGUGAAUUUUAACUUCUUAGAGGAAGUCUCAGAGACUUUUUGUGUUGUGUGUCUGAUUGAGAUCAAAAUUGAGAGGUUGGUUUACUGAGACAGCUGUGUCCGCAGGAAACUAGUUCCUGUAGAAGCUUGACACAGUCGAUGCUCUCUGUCAACACUGUGACUGAUCGUUGAUCUCAAUCCUCGUAGUGAAGCAAAUUAAAGAACACUAAGGGUGAAAACCUUGAAGGUGAUUCCAAAUACAUGUCUAAAAGACAUUCUCAGUCGACUAUAAUAAUAUAUACAUAACUUACCAUAGUGGAAAAAGAAAUUUGGAUUUGAUGGAAAUUUAAAAAAGUAGAAUUGUGUAAAAAAAUUGAUGGAUAAAAUAACUGUGUUAACUGAAACUGUUUAAAGAAAAAGAUGGAGAAUAUAAUUCAAGGGACCAGUUAAAAAUUCAUGCUAUAUGCACAACAAGAUU